rnacentral:rRNA from 1 species
AUGUCUGGGUCGGGCUCGGGCUCCGGCGUGUGGGUGUUCAAGAACGGCGUGAUGCAGCUGCAGCCGGAGCAGCCGGCGGCGGGCCGGAAGGCGCUGCUGUACGUGCCCACCGGCGAGAGGAUGACGACGCUGGAGCUGCUGGAGCGGCGCCUCGGCGCGCACGGCUGGGAGCGCUACUACGAGAACCGCGACAUCGUGCAGCUCCACCGCCGCGACGGCGGCAUCGACCUCAUCUCCCUCCCAAGGGACUUCACCAAGUUCCGCUCCACCCACAUGUACGACGUCGUCCUCAAGAACCGUGACAGCUUCAAGGUCGUCGACGUCCCAACUUAA